AUCAACCCUGGUUUAGUCAC
rnacentral:snRNA from 1 species